rnacentral:rRNA from 1 species
UAGUCCACGCUGUAAACGAUGAUAACUGGUUGUGCGCAAUACACAGUGCGCGACUGAGGGAAACCAUUAAGUUAUCCACCUGGGGAGUACGUUCGCAAGAAUGAAACUCAAAGGAAUUGACGGGGGCCCGCACAAGCGGAGGAACAUGUGGUUUAAUUCGAUGAUACGCGAGGAACCUUACCCGGGCUUAAAUGCAGGUUGCAUGAAUCAGAGAUGAUUCUUUCUUUCACGAGACUACCUACAAGGUGCUGCAUGGUUGUCGUCAGCUCGUGCCGUGAGGUGUCGGGUUAAGUCCCAUAACGAGCGCAACCCCUAUCCUUAGUUGCCAACAGGUCAAGCUGGGAACUCUAGGGAGACUGCCGCCGCAAGGCGCGAGGAAGGUGGGGAUGACGUCAAAUCAGCACGGCCCUUACGUCCGGGGCUACACACGUGUUACAAUGGCAGGUACAGAGGGCAGCUACAUGGCGACAUGAUGCUAAUCUCGAAAGCCU